AGCGCAUUAGUCCAGUCUGGAGUGGGCGUCGACCUGUCACGGCGAAGAUCACGGGUUCAAAUCCCGUAUGCGCUGCCA
rnacentral:tRNA from 1 species